rnacentral:rRNA from 1 species
UACGUAGGGGGCAAGCGUUGUCCGGAAUCAUUGGGCGUAAAGCGCGCGUAGGUGGCUUCGUAAGUCCGCUGUGAAAGUCAAAGGCUCAACCUUUGAAAGCCGGUGGAUACUGUGAAGCUAGAGUACGGAAGAGGCGAGUGGAAUUCCUGGUGUAGCGGUGGAAUGCGCAGAUAUCAGGAGGAACACCAAUAGCGAAGGCAGCUCGCUGGGACGUUACUGACACUGAGGCGCGAAAGCGUGGGGAGCGAACAGG